AGGAAAGAAACGGAAUGAACGAAUGCAGAUAGAACGAAGGCGGCAAGUGAUCGAAACUGAUGAACGAAGACGGUGAGAAGGAAAGCACGUAGCAGUAACGCUGCAUCCGGGCCCUUGCUGUCGCAGGUAACGAAGAGGACCGAAGGAAGAAAAAGCUCGCAGGCGGCGAGGUUUCGUCGGUCGAUUCAUGAAGUGGGAGGCGUCUCCGGGGUCGACGAGGCCGAAGGAACGAGGGAAGAUGCUGCGAGGUUGAUUGUGGUCUCGGUAGGUGCAGCGCGGGGCGGCUCAAGCAGUCUCUCGGGCGCUUGAUUGGCUGUGGUAGCGAGGUGCGAAGGGACUCCGGGAGGGGAUAGGCAACAGCGACGUCGCAUGUGGCUUCGGUGGGGUUUCAUCGACAGAAGAAGAAGAAGAGAAGGAUGCGAAAUCGCGUUGGAGAUGGAAGGUCCUGUUGCUUCCGGUUCUUCUUUUCUCUUUUUUUUUUAACAGAAAUCAAUGGAGUCUUGGUGUGUGUGUUGGGUUUGAUUUUUGAUAGGGAAUGAAGAACGAAUGAUAUGUUGCUCUUGUGUUUGCACUGGGAAUGUAGCGAGGUGCGAAGGGACUCCGGGAGGGGAUAGGCAACAGCGACGUCGCAUGUGGCUUCGGUGGGGUUUCAUCGACAGAAGAAGAAGAGAAGGAUGCGAAAUCGCGUUGGAGAUGGAAGGUCCUGUUGCUUCCGGUUCUUCUUUUCUCUUUUUUUUUUAACAGAAAUCAAUGGAGUUUUGGUGUGUGUUUGGGUUUGAUUUUUGAUAGGGAAUGAAGAACGAAUGAUGGUGAUGUUGCUCUUGUGUUUGCACUGGGCACGAAAACACCCACUUUAGUGGUGUGUUCUUGGCUGGAAAUGAAGAAGAAGAAAGAAAGAAGAGAGACGAGGUGAAGCGGUGAACGAUUGAAAGUAGUCUUAAGGUAGAUGGAGUGGCUGCAGUCGAAGGACAAACAGAAGAAGUAGAAGGUCUUUGCGUGUGGUAAAGUGUGAUUAAGUGAAAGAUGAAGAGUAGAUGGAGUGGCUGCAGUCGAAGGACAAACAGAAGAAGUAGAAGGUCUUUGCGUGUGGUAAAGUGUGAUUAAGUGAAAGAUGAAGUGUGUAUGAAAAAUUAUAGUUUUGACUGUCAAUUGAAAGGGGAAAGAGUUGUGUGUAAAAUUGAGAAAUGUUGAAAUGUGGUAGAACUAAUAGAUUUGUUUUUUUCUCAUAAUUAUGUAUUAUUUUGUCAUUGAUUAUGUAUUUGGUUAAAUUCAUUUUAUUAAAAUCUUGGACAACCAUUAUAUA